GUUACAGGGCUUUCACUCCUGAGUCGAAAAAGGUCACCAACUCCUGCUAAAUCUUAAACAUUAACAGCAACUGAAGUCUCAUCUUCAGACCUAAGAGAAGAUGAAAAUCAGAAGAAGCUGCAUUCAUGAGACCUGGGUCCAGAAAACUAAACUAUUUAACUCCCUAGUCCCAGGGACUAUUGCAGAAGAAGCACUAGCUCUGUCACCUGGAUUGGAAUGCAGUGGCAUGAUCCUGGCUCACUGCAACCUCCAUCUCCCAGACCCAAGUGAUCCUGCCACCUCAGCCUCCUGAGCAGCUGGGACUACAGAAUAAGGUUCACAGCCACCUCCCUGCAAUCUGAUUUGGACCGCCCAUGAGACCAGAAGAUUACAAAAACGCAAAAAUGUUGACUGACUUAUGAGUCCUAGAUACCCUGUACCCGCUGGUGAAAGGAAGCGAUGGAGUUGCCGUCUCCCCUCCGAGUUUGGCAGGCCGGGGAUUUCGCAAAGGAGGCGGCGGGACCAGAUGCCUCCAGCCCGGAGCUCAGUACAUUCGGUGUCCUAGAUGCUCCCUUCCUGUCCUUACCACUGCGAGCUCUCCUGGGACGGCCUAGAUUUCCACUGCCACCUACUUUCCGCUCCCUGCGUGCUUCCUCGCUGAAACUGCCGGCGAAAAGAUCUCUUUCCCAAGCCUCAGAGUACCUUGAGGCGGGGCGCAGGGUCGCCCGCUCUGGAUCCGGAGCAGGCAAUUCAGGAGGAGCCGCAGGAGCCCUCGGGAGAGCAGGAGGCUGCAGAGGGUCUCAACGUACGCCCGCCCCCGCAGCCUCCCUAGCAACUCGCCUCUCGCUUAGUGGACAGACGACUGGAGCCGGAGACUUCCAUCCGAGAAGACCUUUGAGAGUGUCAGCCUACUGCUGUCCCCUGGUGCCACCAACCAAAGUUCCAAGACUGCUGGCUGCAGAUGGCAUGCGCUUGGGGACAGACGCCCUGAGACUGUCCACGGCCCGCCUUUGGAAUCCUGGGCCCUGAAACUUCCUCUGAGACCUUCCAUUGGAUGAUCCUCUUGUAAAUAAAUAAAUAAAUAAAUAAAGUUAACAAUAAUACCCGAGUUCUCUCAAAUGCGAUGGAAGAAGUUUGGCCUUCAGAUCACUUUAUGCCUU